UACGUAGGUGGCAAGCGUUGUCCGGAUUUACUGGGCGUAAAGAGCGCGCAGGCGGUCGUUCAAGUCGCGUGUGAAAGCCCCCGGCUCAACUGGGGACGGUCACGCGAUACUGAUCGACUCGAAGGCAGGAGAGGGAAGUGGAAUUCCCGGUGUAGCGGUGAAAUGCGUAGAUAUCGGGAGGAACAUCAGUGGCGAAGGCGGCUACCUGGCCCAAUACUGACACUCAGGUGCGACAGCGUGGGGAGCAAACAGG
rnacentral:rRNA from 1 species